rnacentral:lncRNA from 1 species
UUGGAAGGAGGCAUCAUAGUCUCGCUUGUCUGUUGCUAUGGCUUGGUGUGGAUCGUCGAUGUGAUGUGACUGAUGUUUUGUUGGAAGUUGUUCUCGAUGAACUUUUGCUUUGGUCUCAAGCAGUUGCUGCUCGAAGAAUUCUCUGGCUGGAUUCGGGAACUUUGUUGUGUAGACUGUCGUCCACUGGUGUUUGUAUAUAAGCGAGACUUUGUUUUUCUUAUUAUUGUAAGUACGGUUAUAAUUUACAAGUUGUUUUCUGAUUGUUCUUGGCUAAUAAAAGUUAUUUAUAUCAUGGAGCAAUGGUUUGAAGCUGUUAUUUGUUGAAUGAGCAACCACGAAUUGAACAUUAACAUUAAGAUAAGCAUCAACCAGCAUAGCACACGGGGUCGAACUACAAGUGAAGGAACGGGAUUAUGGUCCACCUUCACAAGACUACAUGUGUAUGAUCUAUAAUUUUGCCAUCAAUUACUCAAAAUUAACCCAUAUUGUUUAUCAUUCAUUGCUAAUUGUUCAUCUUUUGUCAACUGUUGAGGUCAAGGAUUAUCAUGUCUUUAUCAUGGUCCUUGCUGCUAUUGUAGUUACUGUCC